GUGCAAAGGUAGCAUAAUCAUUAGAGGUUUAAUUGGAAUCUGGUAUGAAGGGUUGGACAAAGAAAGAGCUGUCUUUAAGGUAUGAAUUGAAGUUUACUUUUGAGUGAAAAGGCUUAAAUAAAUCAAGGGGACGAUAAGACCCUAUAAAGCUUUAUGAAUAAGUUAGAUUUGGUUAAUUUAUAAAAUAAUAAUUGAGUUUAAUUAUUUUGUUUUGUUGGGGUGAUGUGAGUAUAAAUAAUAAUAACUGCUUAAAAAAUAUACUAUUAUAUGAGAAUAAAAAUAUAUGAUCCUUUUUAAAGAUUAAAAGACUAAGUUACUUUAGGGAUAACAGCGUUAUUUCUUUUGAGAGUUCAUAUCGAAAAAGAAGAUUGCGACCUCGAUGUUGAAUUAAAAUAUCUGUAUAGUGUAGCUGUUAUAGGAGAAGGUCUGUUCGACCUUUAAAUUUUUACAUGAUUUGAGUU
rnacentral:rRNA from 1 species